rnacentral:misc_RNA from 1 species
UAGCCGUAGGUGAACCUGCGGAGGGAUCAUUACAGAGUUCAUGCCCUACCGGGUAGAUCUCCCACCCUAUGUUAUUAUUACUUUGUUGCUUUGGCGGGCCGUUAGGCUCCGGCCCGACUACCGGCCCCGGCUGGUAAGCGCCCGCCAGAGGACCCAAAACCCUGAAUAUUAGUGUCGUCUGAGUACUAUAUAAUAGUUAAAACUUUCAACAACGGAUCUCUUGGUUCUG